AAAUUAUUGUUCUUUUUUUUUGCUUUAUUGUGAUUCAGAGUUGAAGUGAUAUACUACGAUUUGUGAUUCAGAAGAAGACAUACCACGAUUCAGAAGAAGACAACACAUUUCCUUCCGGCCCAUUUUGCAACCUGCAUGUAUUGAGGGAGCUUCAUUAGCUCAUGUUCGGGAUGGUCAAACUCCAACCUUGCUGACAUCUAUAGCUUCCUCAAGACCUGCAUGUGCCCUUAAUUGGAGAGCCUUUGUGCAGAAUAGCGAGCAUCUUUGACAGAUACAUGAAAGCCCCUAGCACCCAUUUUGAGGAGAUGGACAUCCACAGGCGCUGCCAUUUAUUAGUUGAUGAGAUUUAUUAACCCGGGACAACAACCAUUCACUCCACUCCAAUUCCUACAAAGGAAGGUCCAGAACUAGCAUCCCAGAAUGAUCGAAGGAUUCCCGUAGGCCCUAACCAUGCCACUAAGAGUGACAGUCCCGGUAUUACCAUUCAAGGGUGCAUGCCACUGAGAUGAUUCUCCAACAAUUCCUCCAGCAACCAACACCAUGUCAGCAUACUGCUAUCACCUAAAAUCGGACAGCUCCGAUAGACAAAAGCAUGCAGCUAGAGCGUGAGAAAGACCAUACCACUCGGGAGCCAAGCUCUUCCUCCAGCAACGCCAGAAACAUUUUCUCGUAACAAUAUAACACUCAUUUUAAUAUAACACACAUUUGUACAUAAAUUAUCGUAAAUUAUCAUGAUAUUUUGAACACA